rnacentral:rRNA from 1 species
AAACCAGCACCUCAAGUGGUCAGGAGGAUUAUUGGGCCUAAAGCAUCCGUAGCCUGCUCUGUAAGUUUCCGGUUAAAUUCAUUAGCUCAACUAAUGGCCUGCCGGAAAUACUGCAGAACUAGGAAGUGGGAGAGGUAGACGGUACUCGGUAGGAAGAGGUAAAAUCCUUUGAUCUAUUGAUGACCACCUGUGGCGAAGGCGGUCUACCAGAACACGUUCGACGGUGAGGGAUGAAAGCUGGGGGAGCAAACCGGAUUAGAAACCCGGGUAGUCC